CAUGGUCUGGGCGGGGCAGAAACGGGCACCGUGAGGCGGGCAGAGCGGUGCGGGGGAAGGCGGCCGGGGACGGCAGCGGGCACAGCGCGGGGCCGGGUCUCACCCUGACGGGACCGAGGACAGCGAGCCCGCCCACUGCGCCCCGCGCCGCCGGGAGGUCCCGUCCCGUCCCCCCACGCCCGCCCCAGCCCAGCGGAGCCCUGACCGGGAUGCCGGGCGCCCUCUUGCCACGGAGAGCAGGCUAAAGGAGGUGGCAGAUGCAUGGCCAGGACCGUAUGGCAGAGCUGCAGCUGCCGUGUGCUGGCGAGAAGAGGGAGAAGUCGCUCCAUCGCCAAGGUUCCCCCGGCCGGGCAGCGGGCGCUGGAUGUGCCUCCUGUGCUGGGGAGCAGCGAGGCGACGCGUGGCUCUGGCAUUGCCCUUGCUCUGCUAUGCUAGGGAGUUCUAACCAAGGAAAUGAGGUUUUACAUUAUUAUUCUAUUUUUAUCCUUUUUCUUUCCCUCCAAGAAAAGCUAUCAUAAGGGUCAACAUUAACGCAGGGUUAGCGUGUCAUCAAAACAAUAAAACAGCAACAUGCACCUGCAAAAACAGUUGUAUAUUGCUGGGCACUGCUACUAAAAAUUUAUCCAACAGUGAUUAUGUGUGGUAACUUGAACACAAUAUUUGUUUUGCUGAUCUUUGCCUUAUAAAAGCAAGCUUCUAGAAUUUUGCCUUUAUUUUUAUUAUCAGCUAGCAAACAUUUUAAACAUUUAUUUGUUAGUAAUCCUGUAUUAUUGCUGCUGUUGUUAUUAUGAACAGUAGUUGAUGCUAGGAAUUUUUUGUUACAUUUCAUUUUAAACAGGACUGCAGAAUAAUUCUGUGGUUUUAGUUUGGCAGCUGACAAAAAAUAAUCGCCCAAAAUAUGUUAAUUCUGGUGCCUAGGACACUCCUCUGCACUUACUGAGGGAAACUGAAACACCUCCCCGUUUGUUUACAAGCCGAGUGAAAACUGCUCUUCUGCCAAAAUUGCUUUGUAAAUUUAACUAAAAUUAGCUAAUGUUUUAAAUCGCCUGCACCACAAUUUCUAGCAUUUUAGCUGUAUAUCUUCUCUCUCCUUUACUUCAAGUAACUAUAGCCCCAACAAUCUCAUUCUGUUAUUACUUCUCAUGUAUUGUUUAUAAAGAACAGCCCUGCCACAUGGGAAGGGCAAUUAAAAAAUACUGUUGCAGACCUUCUAGUGCUCAUUCUUCAAAUUCUAGUCUUCAAGUGCUUACCAUUCAUAUACAACUGUCUUAUAAAAUAUACCUUUAUAUAAGAAUAAAUAUGUGUAGUAACUUGUAGAAGAUUUACACAUAAGUUAAAAACAUGCAGGCUUUGGGAAGUGAAAACGCACGUUCAUUGUGGGUGCUUUGUCACUGGUGGGGGAGGUUGUUUGUAGUCAUGCAGGUGUUGUAACACGGACAUGCAGCAUUCACAACUACAUUAUCUAUAAAAUAGACAGCAAGGUGCACAGACAUGAAAUCAAAGAUAUUUCUGGCAGUAUUUUGAGGCAAAGCCAUAAAUCUUACUAAACACAGAUUUUGUCUUUUGAAUUGUACACUGCAAAAAACACAUAGAAGUUUCAUGGAAUACUUAAUAUUAAAACAUCAGUUAAGUAGUCCCUGUUUGCUUUUGCUGUGCGUUCAUUUUAAAGCAAAUGUUUUAAAUUAAUUCUUACCUUGCAAGACAGAAACAUGGCUUAGCACCAGCUCUCUCCUCUAAGGAUCUCCACUUUAAUUCUUCUGCAGUGUUAUUUCUGUUGUGGUUCCACAUAUAAAAUGUUAGAGGACAGCAGUAGGUUACUUUGUUCCUGUUUUUUUAAAGAAUGGGUUUGAUAAUUUACUCUAAUUUUAGACUUUGACUAUUUUUGGUGAUAGUCAGUGGGGCUAGAUCAAUUGAACCUUGUACCAGCAGCUUCAUUCAACAGCCUUCAUGAACACAAAUUCUCUGCAGGACUUUCAUGUUUUUCUAAAGAACCUCAUAGGUUUUACUCAUUUUUAAGUAAAAUCAUGCACAGAUAUGGAGUAUUUGUAACUUUCAAAGAUGCACCAAGCAUUAGUUAUUGUUAAAUUUUAAAAAAAAUGAAACACUUGCAAAUUUCUCUUCAUAGUAUUCGCAGUGUUCUUUACUCUUCUUUUUGCUGCAGAAGUUCAGUGAUUCCAUAAAAUUUGACAUUGUGACAGAAAGUCAUACCAGGAGCAAGUAUUUAUCAUAUCAAAAAUAUCCAAAACCUUUUAAUCUGUUUUCAAGUGAAAUAUGCUUUUCUCUUAGUGAAAUGCAUAUUUCUGAAGUACAGAUUUCAGCAAAUUCAUCAGUUUAACUGCAGUUCCCCUCUCGAGCUUGAGGCCAAAGGUUGUAUUACCAGGAUGGUUUCAUGCUCACCCCAGGUCACCAGAUGGCAUCUAUAUGCUAUUGCCUGCAUCAACAGUGGGCCAUCCCCAGCAAAGGGCCAGGGGUGUCUUUCGGGAGCUCAACUUUUGUCCAUUAACUGUAUGAUGUGUGGCUGAUACAGGUCUCAAACAGUAAUUAAAUUUAUUCAUUAAAACCCUGUACAGGUUUCUAUUGUUUGUCAAUUUAUCUGUUGUUAUACUCCUGACACGGCCAAGGUUUGACCUGAGACCUCAAGACCUCUUUGUCCAUCAGGGCACUUCUGACGAAAGAGAUGGAUGUCCUGCAGAGCACUGCCUGUGGCGGCAGGGACCUGUUUGGUGGGAGACGUGCCCUUCCCUUUCACCUGUGGCUUCCAGUGGAGCCAAAAUGCAGAAAAUGACAGUGUUCUCGCCAAGCUGAUUUUCACCUGUAGUCUGACGCUUCCAUGACCAGCCACCUAGCAGCAAGAGACAGCAGCCAGAUCCCCGAGGGGCUUCUCUGCCCUGCACCAACUGCACCAAAUCCACGGUGAUUCGCAGGAAGGUCAAAGCCAGAACAGACAUUCACAAAGGCUGGAGAUGCAGCUGUCCAAGGAAGAAACCAAGUCCUGAUCUCCGCAGGCAAAUGGCCAAGGCACACGUCAUUUUAUUCACGGUGUCUUACACACUGCUCUCUUCAGAACUUGUUUUGUGGCUUUAUCUCCAGACAGCUCAGAUGUUUGUUUUCUUUACUGCUUGCUAUCCCCUUUAUGGAGUUUUUAAUAAACUUUAUGGACAAAAAUAGUAUCGGCCCUUGAUUGCAAAUAUGAAAUCAGUUUGGUGUGGAAUCUCAGCAAGAGCUUUCUGGGCCAGUGAUCUGAAAAUGUUUAAUUUGAUGAUAUGGUCUUUUAUGUCUUCCCUUAUUACAGGAUCUUUCUGUUCUGCUAGCAGCUCAGUAGGACAUAGUUGUCUCCUAGUUUGAUCCAAAUACAGAUAUUUCUUGUUUUUCCAUGUUAUACUUUAGCGUGUUAGCAGGAAUAUCACCUGUACAUAGGCCAGGUUUUUCUUGGUCCUUGGACAAUUUUAAAAUGCUGGCUUACAUUUAAUUCUGUUGGCCAGUGGGAGUUCACACAUUGCUCUCUUUCUAACUUAGUACUGGAUGAUUUUGAGUUGUAUUUUAUAGCUUGCCAUCUACCUUUUUUCCCUUUUUCUUUUUCUCUUUUCCAUGUUUUCUAUAUUUUCUUUUAACUGGGAUGACUUCUCAGCCACUAUAAAGUUUUGUAUGUUUGUGGAAUGAUGGCUUUUUCAGCAGUCACUGGGAAACUUCACAGAGUUCCUAAAUUUGUUUAGAACUACCGCUAAGACUUUGAUGUAAUUUCAUAAAUAAUUAUUGCAACAAUCAUGUUAAGGAAUUACUUUCACUGUGACUUUUUGUAAUAGUUAUGAAGUGAAAGUUCUGAUGAAGUUUGUGCUCCUCUGCUGCAGCGUAAAUUCCUCUUGCCUGUCCAUCACAGUUGACAUUCAGGAAAUCAAUUGAUCAUUCAUUCUGGGUAGCGACAAAAGAUGUUUCAUGGUGGGGAUCAGUGUCCUCUGUAUACCCUGCCAACAACAUUUUUUUAUGUAUGGUGUGUUAGCCUGGGGAAGGGAAAAACUAAUUCUAGUCAAAGGUCAAUUGAUAUUUUUAUGUCUGCCCAGUUCUGAAGUGAUAUCUGUUUUAUAAAUGUCUAAGAAAUUGCCUACAAGUUGACUAGGAAGGCAACAUGGUUACUGAAAGUCUCACAAGGUUUUAUAUUCAGUUGUAAAAUAUGUUUUGAAGCUUGAGGAUAUAACUCAAUAAAUAUAAUCACAGAUAUGUGCGUAUAUUGAACACAGAGCUCUGAUCCUGACAUUACUUCCAAAUGUGGUUAAGAUUUAUUAAUAGUACCAUGGUAUGUCCUUACUCUGUUAAACUUCAGUGAAUGCUUGAGUUUAGCCGGGUUCUUGCACCCAAUGCACAGUUUUUAUAGAAAGUUCUUCAGCAAAGUGUCUGUAUCAGUGAUUGUAGGACGCGGGCCAUUUUGUAGUAAUUUCUGAUUUGAUUCUAAUUUGAAACUUUACCUAGCAUUUUCAAGGAUGCGUGGUAUAAAACCACGUAACUCUAUAGAAAUAAAGACAACUUGGCAUAUUAGGGCCUCUUAUCAA